GGUCAAAGGGAAAAAUGGCGGCGUCCAGGGGAGCAGUAGUGUUAAAGAAAGUUAAGAAAAUAAUUUUACAGUUUUGCCCCUUUUAUUCUAAUGUUCGCUACACAAGAUAGUUUCUCAUCCUGGUCGGGUCGGAAAAAGCCAGAGCCACAAAUAUGAACUGUGAAGUUAUCACAGAAGUAAAGCAUGACCGAUCAAAGCCUGUGAUUGACAUCACAUUUAGUGAGUUUCUGAACUGUAAAUCCAAUAUUGCAGAGGAGCGUACAUGUAUAGUGUCAUUGACGUAUAAUGCAUGUUUUUGUGGUCUCUUGCACUGGAUGGAGAGAGGCUGCUGAUGAAGGGAUCCAAAAUAACCACACAAGAAAUGCUCUCCGCCUUACAGACCCAAUGCAGUGCUAAACAUCCUCAAGCUAAAACAGCAGACAAGAAGUAGUCUGUUCUGUAUUAUGUAUUUAUAUGUCUGUGUAUGCGUAAUAAAAUUAUUAUUUGUCAUGUC